rnacentral:rRNA from 1 species
UACAGGGGGGGCAAGCGUUGUUCGGAAUUACUGGGCGUAAAGGGCCAGUAGGCGGCCAACUAAGUCCGACGUGAAAUCCCCAAGCUUAACUUGGGAACUGCGUCGGAUACUGGAUGGCUUGAAUUCGGGAGAGGGAUGCAGAAUUCCAGGUGUAGCGGUGAAAUGCGUAGAUAUCUGGAGGAACACCGGUGGCGAAGGCGGCAUCCUGGACCGACACUGACGCUGAGGAGCGAAAGCCAGGGGAGCAAACGGG